rnacentral:rRNA from 1 species
UACGUAGGAGGCAAGCGUUGUCCGGAAUUACUGGGCGUAAAGCGCGUGUAGGUGGUGGGACAAGUCUGCUGUGAAAGCGCCUGGCUUAACCGGGCGAGGUCGGCGGAAACUGUCCGACUCGAGGACGGUAGAGGGGGGUGGAAUUCCCGGUGUAGUGGUGAAAUGCGUAGAGAGUCGGGAGGAACACCUGUGGCGAAGGCGGCCCCCUGGGCCGGCCCUGACACUGAGACGCGAAGGCGUGGGGAGCGAACGGG